rnacentral:lncRNA from 1 species
GGGAGUUUUUUAGGUAAAGGUUUUAGGUGGCAACUCUUGCAGGCAUUUAAAAAGCUAGGGCUUGGGUGCAAGAUCUGAGCGGAAAGAGAGGUUGGAAGGGGGCAGUAGCGGUGGGAUCAGCUGGAUGGCGAGGUGGAGAGAAAUGAAGGGAGAAGCGGAGGCCAAGUCUGGGUGCGAGGGAGCAGGGAAGACAGGACAGAAGUCCAGGAGCCAGCCUGAGCCCAAGGGUGGUCUAGAGGGUGUGGGGACUGAGGAAAUGGACUUGAAGGGUUGACCAGCAGCACCAUGGGGCAAACUCAGCCCAGCUGGGUAAAUUUGCCACAAACUCCCUCCAAGGACACAAGCACAUGGAAAUAGAGAAAAAUCUGUGUUGCUGGGUGUCGUGGCUCACCCCUAUAAUCCCAGGACUUUGGGAGGCUGAGGCAGGAGGAUUGCUUGAGCCCAGGAGUUUGAGAACAACCUGGGAAACAUAGGGUGACCCAGUAUCUACAAAAAAAUUAAAAAGUUAGACAGGUGUGGUAGCAUGCACCUGUGGUGCCACAUACUGAGGAAGCUGAAGCAGGAGGAUCACUUGAGCUUGGGAGGUCGAGGCUACAGUGAGCCCUGAUCGCACAACUGUACUCCAGCCUGGGUGACACAGCAAGACUCUGUCUCCA